UCGACGAAGACGUGUCCAUAAUCCAAAAGCACGGAGGGCGGACUUCCGUCCUCUUCUCAAAGAAGUCCAAGGGUGCAGAAGAGAUCACACCAGUUGAAAUGUAGAAGGACGGUGAUCAAGAUCAACUAACGGGCGCAAAGCGCUGUCGUCAGUGAGCAGACGACGCUGGAAGAAGCAGAAGUGCAGACGGCGCACACGUGGUACGUACGGGACUACCCCACCACCGCCUGCAUGGCCUGGUGCACGUGUGAGCUGGUCAUAAUUUUUCUUUUCUUUUCCUCACAUAGCCCUCGAGCGUUUUAUCCUUUCCUCGUAGACCGCACCACCACGGUCACACGACGACGUCCGACGGCGAAUCCUGUCUUCUGGCCUUCCCGGUCCCGUCCUUCGGAAGACCGGUGGUGGGAGAGAUCGAGAGAGAGAGUAUCGCGCGGAGAUGCGAACAGCAGCCGAAUGGGGCCGAGAGCAGACGACGAAGGUGCAGGUCACAAAAUUACUGCUGUACGACGUUGCCAGACCACUUUCGUUCUUGCGCUGCCAGAUACAGUGCGCUUGUCGACUUCGCUUUUUUUUUCUUCUUCUCUUUGUUAGUGCUCAGUCCAUUCGCCAAGGGAUCAUAAUUUCGCUUCAUCAGCAACGAUUCAGGUAUGGACAACGAGCAGCCACGUGGCCUACGAGGAAGCAGCAGACGAAAUCCCCUCGAGAGGAAACAGCUCGAUGACGAAAUUUAUUCGGAAGUGACGUUGAUCCCUUCUUCCCACUGCCCGUUUCUUUCUCAUAAGCGAAUUGAGAGGGACCAAGAGCAACAACGUUGAUCUUGCGUGGUAGUGCAAAGUACAAAGCGAGCGAGUGGUCUUCCGUGGCACCGAGGCACCCUACAGCGUUCAAGGAAGAGCAGCCCAUAGAGUUUCCUACAAAAACUACUUGUAGGAAAUACUAUGGAGCAGCCGACCAUGGUUGUGGAGCAGACGACGAAAAUGGCCAGCAGUUGCCAGACGACAUUUUCUUGGAGUCGCUUCGCGCCUUCUGUUCGCGCGGUGUUUCGUUUGUUUUUCAUUUUACGCCCGGUCGUCCGCUCCGCGGGCCCAGAACAAGCAACCUUGACGGGACAAACAACGCGGAGCCGUUUUUCUAGCGACUGUUUUUGAGCGGGAAAGUUAUUCCCAGUAACAUGACCUUCGAGCUAAAUGCUCUGCUCCAUCUAAUCACUACAAGCGGCCCUUUCAACCUCCUGUUCUAGGGUCACUACUCGCCAUGUUUAAUUGAUGAGCUUUUUUUUUGUUUCUUCGUCUAGAUGCUGAAACGCCGAUACACAAUUGUGGCACUGACGUGGCGCUUUCUGUUACUUGGUAGAAAGAACGCUUGCUAUUUAUGCACUGAGAAAUAGCAUAGUAAAUGAGAAAGAAACAUAUUCACGGGAGUGACCAAUAUACGGAACAAGCGAUCUGACCUUAAACGGUACAGACUGCGUAUGCCCAUGAGCCUGGAUCGAAACGUAAACAGGAAAUGACUGAUCAGAUCAACGCAAUGUACUUUACGCGUAGCUACAUGUAGCAGGUUUCUAAGCAUACGCAAUAGCUGUCACAAGUGUGCGUUCAGGAGUCUGAACAUGGUAACGCAACAACGCAUUUGAGUAGCUUCGGAAUUGCUCGUGUGUGAAUUUCAGCUGAUAUGCUGUGCACGCUCUGAUUACAUAUGCAUGAGAGCAAAAUAACGUAUUACUCCCCUAUGACUCAUUUCGUCGCUUAAAGGAGUAAGUUGUAGCCAUUUUUUUUUCGCUAGAAGCGUGCACAGGUAUACACCCUGAAUGAACCGAGAAGCUUUUUAACUCUCGAUCCGCAACAUGAAAACAGCUUGUUGACCACCUUAAGAAGUAGUACAGCAAGAAAUGAGACGUGAUUAUCUACGUUGAUGCAAUUGACAAACAUGCUAAAAGGCUAUACGCCCUCCUGACCUUUUCUCAGCACAUAUACUGUAGACCACGAUGUCGACAUUCCUUCAUUGGAUGUAAGUGUGUACUGAUGGCAACGUAAAAUAACUGUUAAUUCUAUGCUCUUGUGUGUUUUACAGAUUGACCUGAAUUUUAAAAAAUUAGAUAAGGCAUGUUUACUCAGUUAAUUAAGAUAACUAUAAGGUUUUCCUUGCUAGUGCCAUUGCGUGAUACACAAAUUAGCAAUUAAACUAACAGCUCGAAAGUAGAACUUGCAGAAUGAAACCACGGCACUGAAUUCCAACUUAUUUAUUCUUUUCGGAGCUCAAGUUAUUGAAUGGUUGUUGUACGCGAAUCGUACAAAAACUAUUGUUCCGAGAUGAAUAAACCAGUUGGGAGUUAGUGCCGUGUUUUUGUCCCUUUUUUCCUUGGUCCAAGUUUUACCAUCCCGCUGUUAGUAUUUUUACCUCCAACCAACUAGCCCGAACCUGCACAAAUGAGCAAACUAUAGCUGACUACUGCCAACUAUAAAAUACAACACAGAAAGGGAACGAGUGAGCAUAACGAAUUAAACUCUUCAUUUUUUAAUGCACUGUGCACUUUCUGACAUCUGCCACUGCUAAUGUCUUGCUAUUGCUAAUGCCACUGCUAAUGCCACUGCCUUGUUCAAGAAAAUUUUCUUGAUACAACGGAACAGGGAGUAUAUGUACAAUGGAACACUGCAUUCGUUAUUGUAUUGCUAUUUUAUAAGUUAUAAUAUUUUACUUUAUAGGUGACCCGAUCCAUCAACAUCGCUGCUGAUGAAUUAUGCGCUCAUGUCUCUCCUGGAGAAUGAAACGAAGAAAUAACAAGCUAUAUAAACGUCUGUUCGCCAGCGCAAGCAGAAGGCAAAAUUCAUCUGCUCAGUGGCCAACUGCAACAGGACCUCACUUUGGCUGAAUUUGUUAUGAGUAUUACGCGCCACUAAAGCAAUUUUGUUUUUGAA